ACAACAUCCACCGUAUAUCACAUUAGGGUGAAGAACACGAUGCCUUGCCCACUUAAAAAAUUCACCAUUGCAUUUUUGGGUAUGUUGGAGUUACACAACGAAAUGCAACUGAAAAGAAGUACUGGGCAGAGCCCAAGACGGCACAUCGAGCCAUGAACAAAUUGGUGUUCUCUCUUCUUUGCUGGUAGUGAAUCAACAACCUUUCUCAAAGAGGAAAAAAGAAAACUAGCAUGUAUGGCUAGAAAGUGGCUAGAUGGUGUCACAGAACUCAAGAAUGAGAAAGAUCUCCGUACACCCUCCCAUUCUGAGGCUGGUGAGAGCAAACAAAUCUGAUGUGGGAUUUCCAUUGUUUCAGUUUGUGCCUAUUGCCUCCUCUCCUGCCAUCGUCACGACUGAGAAGAGUCUCCCUUUACCUUCUACACACCCUGCCACCUCUUAUCUACAAAAAAA
rnacentral:lncRNA from 1 species